UGUCAUUUCCUUGAGGGCUGCUGAAAUUCCUGGGAUGCUAAGUCGGUGGCAUACAAAAUGCCCCACCAUUUCCCAACCACAUAAUGACAUCCCCCCUCCUUUUGCCUGGGUCAGCGAAUUUGCUGGCCGGCACACCCCUGAAAACAAGGUCAUUAUUGUUGAAAGAGAAAGAAAAAGAGUGAGGGAGAAGGGGGGAAAAACCCUGAAGAUCAAAUUAUUUUUUAAAAUUACAACCCAAUCCUGACAUUCCCUGGGACCCAGUCCCUCAAGGAAAGCAGCAGGGACUGGGAGCGGCGUGGGAGCUGGGGGUUGAUAUGUCAGCUUCUAGCAAAGGCUUUGGGAAUUCCAGCAGAAUUCAGACACCGAAUCUACCACUUCCUACCUAUGCAAGCCCAGGACUCAAUAUGGCUCCUGUUUUCCUGGUUGGACUCCGACUGAUGAUAAUGCCAUGAGGUCAAUCGUGUGAUGCCGAACAGGAGCCUCUGCUUCUAUGAAAAUUGGGAAGAUUCAAUGAAGGCAAAUUGCUAAAAAAUAAAUUGAAUUUGGUAUGGGUGGGACAUUGUAAAGGAUGGAAAGAAAUAGUAAAAUCUAGAUGAUGCCACAUGCUCAUUCUUUCCUUAGCAUCUUUACGUUCAUAUUCCACGUUAAAGAAAUCAAAACUACGCCAGGCAUGGGGGCUCAUACUUGUAAUCCCAGCACUUUGAGAGGCCGAGGCAAGAGGAUCAUCUGAAGCCAGGAUUUCGAGACCAGCCUGGGCAAUAUAGUGAGACCCUGACUCUACAGAAAAAAAAAUUUAAAUUAGCUGGGCGUGGUAGUGCACACCUGUAAUCCUAGCUACUUGGGAGGCUGAAGCGAGAGGAUUGCUUGAGCCCAGGAGCUCAAGGUUACAGUGAGCUAUGAUUGCACCACUGCACUCUAGACUGGGCAACAGAGCAAGACCCCGUUUCUAAAAAAAAAAAAAAAAAAGAAAGAAAAGAAAAAAGAAACCCAAACUGGAAAUUGUUAAGCUAGAAGAACAAGAGGAAGGCCAUUUAAUGCAUAUUUAUAAGUUUAAAGCUAAAAGAAGGGUUUAAGAUACUAUUUUUAUGAUUCCCUUUUAUUUUUAUAUAAUAUUUCUUAUGAUUCCCUACUUCAACCAUAUUUUUUUAUUAACCUGAUUUAAGUUUUUUUCAGUGGAGAACAAGAGGAAGCCUGACUGCCCACUGCACGACAGGGGAAUGCACAAUCAGAAUUUCAAGGGAAGGGAGUCCCUGGAAAUUGAGCACCUACUAUGUGCCAAGCACACUCACAAUUAUUUUCUCAUUGAGUCCUCUUUAUGACUUUGGGAGGUGGGCACUACAGUUGGCUCCAUUUCACAGGCGAGGAAACCGAGGCUCAGAAGAGUAAAGCCUCUUGCCCAGAAUCUCACAGUUCAUAAGAAACAAAGCAGGCUUCAGGUAUGGCUGGUUUCAGCCUCCUUGUCCUUUCUGCUUCCCUUGGCAGCUUCCCCAGGGCUGUUUAAAGCUUAGCACAUGCUUAUGAGGGGGCAUGUAGAGAUGAUAAGCCCCUUAGCGGCAAGGACCAAGCUUGGCUCCAAUUCACCACAUUGCCCCGAGAAUG
rnacentral:lncRNA from 1 species